UACGUAGGGUGCGAGCGUUGUCCGGAAUUAUUGGGCGUAAAGGGCUCGUAGGCGGUUUGUCGCGUCGGGAGUGAAAUCCACUGGCUUAACUGGUGGCUUGCUUUCGAUACGGGCAGACUGGAGGUAUGCAGGGGGAGAACGGAAUUCCUGGUGUAGCGGUGAAAUGCGCAGAUAUCAGGAGGAACACCGGUGGCGAAGGCGGUUCUCUGGGCCGAUACUGACGCUGAGGAGCGAAAGCGUGGGGGAGCGAACAGG
rnacentral:rRNA from 1 species